rnacentral:rRNA from 1 species
GAUGAACGCUGGCGGCGUGCCUAAUACAUGCAAGUCGAGCGAACAGACGAGGAGCUUGCUCCUCUGACGUUAGCGGCGGACGGGUGAGUAACACGUGGAUAACCUACCUAUAAGACUGGGAUAACUUCGGGAAACCGGAGCUAAUACCGGAUAAUAUAUUUAACCGCAUGGUUCAAUAGUGAAAGACGGUUUUGCUGUCACUUAUAGAUGGAUCCGCGCCGCAUUAGCUAGUUGGUAAGGUAACGGCUUACCAAGGCAACGAUGCGUAGCCGACCUGAGAGGGUGAUCGGCCACACUGGAACUGAGACACGGUACAGACUCCUACGGGAGGCAGCAGUAGGGAAUCUUCCGCAAUGGGCGAAAGCCUGACGGAGCAACGCCGCGUGAGUGAUGAAGGUCUUCGGAUCGUAAAACUCUGUUAUUAGGGAAGAACAAAUGUGUAAGUAACUAUGCACGUCUUGACGGUAACUAAUCAGAAAGCCACGGCUAACUACGUG